UGGCUUUCCUGCCUCCGAUGCAUUUUUGCAUCAUGGCAUGGAAUUAUUAAACUUAAUUCUGCUGGUAAUUUGAAUGCUUAUGAAUAUGGGCACCCUAUAGACCAAAAUGUGUGACAAAUGCUUCAUGGGAAACAGCAGUACAGGCUUUCUCACACCAUCUUCACAACACUGUCCAUCUGGAUUUUGUCAGAAUGAAAAAACAAGGGAAAUGUUGUUCCUUGUCCUGCCAGAGUGCUAACUUUUGUCAGGAGCAGGUUGCUGAGGCUUAUUCUGGCUGGUGGGUCAAGUUAUGUUUCUGCAGUGCAAGUGACCACAAGGUGAAAUAGAUAUGGAGUGAUUUCUGCCUUCAAGAAACUGCACACCAGCACAUCUUUUAAGAAAUCUUUGGAUCCCUGAUGUCCUCCUAAGAUACCCUAGUUCAGCUGCUGGGAAGAAGACACA